rnacentral:rRNA from 1 species
GUGAGGAAUAUUGCGCAAUGGAGGCAACUCUGACGCAGCCAUGCCGCGUGCAGGAAGAAGGCGCUACGCGUUGUAAACUGCUUUUAACCGGGAAGAAACCCCAGGACGUGUCCUGGGUUGACGGUACCGGAGGAAUAAGCACCGGCUAACUUCGUGCCAGCAGCCGCGGUAAUACGAAGGGUGCAAGCGUUAUCCGGAUUCAUUGGGUUGAAAGGGUGCGUAGGCGGAGCGUUAAGUCAGUGGUGAAAUCCUGCAGCUUAACUGUAGACUGGCCAUUGAUACUGGCGCUCUUGAGUGCGCUUGAAGUGGGCGGAAUGUGCCGUGUAGCGGUGAAAUGCUUAGAUAUGGCACAGAACACCAAUUGCGAAGGCAGCUCACUAAGGCGAUACUGACGCUGAGGCACGAAAGCGUGGGGAUCGAACAGGAUUAGAAACCCCGGUAGUCC